rnacentral:rRNA from 1 species
CCUACGGGAGGCAGCAGUGAGGAAUAUUGGUCAAUGGGCGAGAGCCUGAACCAGCCAAGUCGCGUGAGGGAGUACUGCCCUAUGGGUUGUAAACCUCUUUUGUCGGGGAGCAAAAGCCGGACGUGUCCGGCUGUGAGAGUACCCGAAGAAAAAGCAUCGGCUAACUCCGUGUCAGCAGCCGCGGUAAUACGGAGGAUGCGAGCGUUAUCCGGAUUUAUUGGGUUUAAAGGGUGCGCAGGCGGGUUUUUAAGUCAGCGGUAAAAUCGUGGGGCUCAACCCCAUCCAGCCGUUGAAACUGGGGAUCUAGAGUGUGCGAGAGGUAUGCGGAAUGCGUGGUGUAGCGGUGAAAUGCAUAGAUAUCACGCAGAACCCCGAUUGCGAAGGCAGCAUACCGGUGCACAACUGACGCUCAGGCACGAAAGCGUGGGUAUCGAACAGGAUUAGAUACCCCUGUAGUC